AUUGAACGCUGGCGGCAUGCCUUACACAUGCAAGUCGAACGGUAACGGGCCUUCGGGUGCCGACGAGUGGCGAACGGGUGAGUAAUGUAUCGGAACGUACCUUUCAGUGGGGGAUAACGUAGCGAAAGUUACGCUAAUACCGCAUAUUCUGUGAGCAGGAAAGCAGGGGAUCGCAAGACCUUGCGCUGAUUGAGCGGCCGAUAUCAGAUUAGCUAGUUGGUGAGGUAAAGGCUCACCAAGGCGACGAUCUGUAGCGGGUCUGAGAGGAUGAUCCGCCACACUGGAACUGAGAGACGGUCCAGACUCCUACGGGAGGCAGCAGUGGGGAAUUUUGGACAAUGGGGGCAACCCUGAUCCAGCCAUGCCGCGUGAGUGAAGAAGGCCUUCGGGUUGUAAAGCUCUUUCGGCCGGGAAGAAAUCGUAUCAGCUAAUACCUGGUGCGGAUGACGGUACCGGCAUAAGAAGCACCGGCUAACUACGUGCCAGCCGCCGCGGUAAGAC
rnacentral:rRNA from 1 species